rnacentral:tRNA from 1 species
GUCCAGGGAUGGGAAUCGAACCCACAAUGCUCCGAUUACCGGGCAGAUGCCAUGUCCACUAAGCUACCCUGGA